rnacentral:rRNA from 1 species
GACGAACGCUGGCGGCGUGCUUAACACAUGCAAGUCGAGCGGUAAGGCCCUUUCGGGGGUACACGAGCGGCGAACGGGUGAGUAACACGUGGGUGACCUGCCCUCAGCUCUGGGAUAAGCCUGGGAAACCGGGUCUAAUACUGGAUAUGACUCCAUGACGCAUGUUGUGGGGUGGAAAGCCUUGUGCGGCUGAGGAUGGGCCCGCGGCCUAUCAGCUUGUUGGUGGGGUGAUGGCCUACCAAGGCGACGACGGGUAGCCGGCCUGAGAGGGCGACCGGCCACACUGGGACUGAGACACGGCCCAGACUCCUACGGGAGGCAGCAGUGGGGAAUCUUGCGCAAAUGGGC